CAGGGUCAGGACGAGGCGAGGAGUGAAUUCCGGGGCAGACAGCGGGGCCAAGACGGAGCGUGAGGGUGGUCACCACGAAGAACUUGCCGGCGGGUUACGUACGGAGACGGCGCCGUUCUCGCCCCGGCGGGGCCGGGGGCUCAGACUUCUGCUAAACAGAUCUCGGUCUCCUCGGGACGGAGCCGGGAGCACCGACCCGGCACUGCCACCAGGGCAGGGGCCCCCCCCGCCUCAGCUCGUCGGUUCUGGGGCCGAGCAGGACGGUGAGGCUGGAGGCUGGGACGUCCAGACAGAAGUUCCAGGACAAGUACAGGCGAGUGGCCUGCGCCUGUCCUGAGCCCUCGGGGAGGCUGGACCUGUCCUUGGAGGCUGUUCUCUGGGUCUGGGUCUAGCCCCUGGGGUGUUCAGUUACCGCCCUUGUAACCGCCUUGGACAGAUUGUCUGCCCCCCACCCCCAGCAGCGUUGUGCUCUGUCUUCCACCCCUACCCCCGGGGGGAACGAUGGUGUGCUCUGUCCCGUCCCCCCACCCCCACCCCGCCCCCGCCCUGGGAACGGCGGUGUGCAAACAGCCAGCCCCGAAAAUUUGA